rnacentral:ncRNA from 1 species
ACAAAGGCUGUGAUGAGGAGUAGUAGUUGUUUCGGGCUUUCCAGAGAGCCGGUGGUUGGUGUGAACCGGUAAGCACGAAUGAUGAACUCGCCUCGGAGCCGCUUCGGUGAAUUGAAUAAUCGAAGACGUUCUCCCGCGUAAAGGGUGUUUUGAGGCCAGGUGAAUAUACCCGGUUUGGAUUUUGGUUGAGACCAAGGCAGGCAAGAAGGAAACGGCGAGGCGUACAGAUGGUACGUUGAGCCGAUGACGACGAAGCCAACGCUGGUAUCAAGCAAAAGCCGAAGUGGGCGCCGGGCGAAAAGGGUGGUACCGCGAACGCUAUAUGCCUUCGCCCCUGUU